GAGUUUGAUCCUGGCUCAGGACGAACGCUGGCGGCGUGCCUAAUACAUGCAAGUCGAACGAGGCCGGACCUUCGGGUCCAAUGGUCGAGUGGCGAACGGGUGAGUAACACGUGAGAAACCUGCCCUGGAGACCGGGACAACCACGGGAAACUGUGGCUAAUACCGGAUGCCCUCGGAUGGUCGCAUGACCGACCGAGGAAAUGCUCAGGCGCUCUAGGAGGGUCUCGCGGCCUAUCAGCUAGUUGGUGGGGUAAUGGCCCACCAAGGCAUCGACGGGUAGCUGGUCUGAGAGGACGAUCAGCCACACUGGGACUGAGACACGGCCCAGACUCCUACGGGAGGCAGCAGUAGGGAAUCUUGCGCAAUGGGCGAAAGCCUGACGCAGCAACGCCGCGUGAGGGAUGAAGGCUCUCGGGUUGUAAACCUCUUUCAGCAGGGACGAAAAUGACGGUACCUGCAGAAGAAGCUCCGGCCAACUACGUGCCAGCAGCCGCGGUAACACGUAGGGGGCGAGCGUUGUCCGGAUUUAUUGGGCGUAAAGAGCUCGUAUGCUGUUCAGUAAGUCGGGUGUGAAAACUCAGGGCUCAACCCUGAGACGCCAUCCGAUACUGCUGUG
rnacentral:rRNA from 1 species